AAUGCCCGGUAUCCCAAAGCUCCGGCGCCUUAGGAUGGAUCUGCGGCCGAUUAGGUCGUUGUUGGGGUAACGGCCCAACAAGCCGAUAAUCGGUACGGGUUGUGGGAGCAAGAGCCCGGAGUUGGAUUUUGAGACACGAAUCCAGGCCCUAAGGGGCGCAGCAGGCGCGAAAACUUUACAAUGCAGGCAUCCGUGAUAAGGGAACCUGGA
rnacentral:rRNA from 1 species